rnacentral:rRNA from 1 species
AAUAACUUUGGGCUGAUCGCACGGUCUCCGUACCGGCGACGCAUCUUUCAAAUGUCUGCCUUAUCAACUGUCGAUGGUAGGUUCUGCGCCUACCAUGGUUGUAACGGGUAACGGGGAAUCAGGGUUCGAUUCCGGAGAGGGAGCCUGAGAAACGGCUACCACAUCCAAGGAAGGCAGCAGGCGCGCAAAUUACCCACUCCCGGCACGGGGAGGUAGUGACGAAAAAUAACGAUACGGGACUCAUCCGAGGCCCCGUAAUCGGAAUGAGCACACUUUAAAUCCUUUAACGAGUAUCCAUUGGAGGGCAAGUCUGGUGCCAGCAGCCGCGGUAAUUCCAGCUCCAAUAGCGUAUAUUAAAGUUGUUGCGGUUAAAAAGCUCGUAGUUGGACUUGUGUCCCWCGCUGUCGGUUCACCGCCCGUCGGUGUCUAACUGGCAUGGUUCGUGGGACGUCCUSCCGGUGGUGGCGAGUCGAAGGAGCGCRCCCGUCGUGGUUCWCRCCGMGAUCGASRUUGYGGUCUGUAGACGGACCCCGAUGAAAUCCUACCGCGGUGCUCUWCACCGAGGUGAUGCUGASGURKGCCUGGCMCGUUUACUUUGAACAAAUUAGAGUGCUUAAAGCAGGCUGUUGCGCCUGAAUACUGGUGCAUGGAAUAAUGGAAUAGGACUCGGGUCUAUUUUGUUGGUUUUCGGAACCCGAGGUAAUGAUUAAUAGGGACAGUCGGGGCAUUCGUAUGCGACGUUGAGGUGAAAUUCUUGGAUCGUCGCAAGACGGAUCGACGAAAGCAUUUGCCAAGUAUGUUUUCAUUAAUCAAGACGAAGUUAAGGUCGAAGGCGAUCAGAUACGCCUAGUUAACCAUAACGAUGCAGCUAGCGAUUCGCGAGUCUCGAUGACUCGCGGCAGUCAGGGACCAAGUUUUGGUUCGGUAGUUGUGCAAGCGAACUAAUGGAAUGACGUAGGUUCCUCCGUAG